CCUACGGGUGGCAGCAGUCGAGAAUCAUUCACAAUGGGGGAAACCCUGAUGCUGCGCCGCCGCGUGGGGGAAUAAAGGUUUUCGGAUUUUAAACCCCUGUCUUGGGGGACCAAAUUAAAAAGAUAGUACAACAAGAGGAGGAGCCGCCUAACCCUGUGCCAGCAGCCGCGGUAAUACAGAGGUGUCAAGCUGUGUUCGGAAUCACUGGGCGUAAAGCGUGCGUAGGCUGUUGCGUAAGUCGGGGGGGAAGGGCGCGGGCUCAACCCGAGGCCGGCAAAUGAAAUUGCGAGACUAGAGUACAGGAGGGGGAACCGGAAUUCGCGGUGUAGCAGUGAAAUGCGUAGAUAGCGAGAGGAACACUCGUGGCCAAGGCGGGUUCCUGGACAUUAACUGACGCUGAGGCACGAAGGCCAGGGGAGCGAAAGGGAUUAGAUACCCCAGUAGUC
rnacentral:rRNA from 1 species